UCUAGUGGCGGACGGGUGAGUAACGCGUGAGAAUCUGGCUUCAGGUUCGGGACAACAGUGGGAAACUGCUGCUAAUACCGGAUGUGCCGAAAGGUAAAAGAUUAAUUGCCUGAAGAUGAGCUCGCGUCUGAUUAGCUAGUUGGUGGGGUAAGAGCCCACCAAGGCGACGAUCUGUAACUGGUCUGAGAGGAUGACCAGUCACACUGGGACUGAGACACGGCCCAGACUCCUACGGGAGGCAGCAGUGGGGAAUUUUCCGCAAUGGGCGAAAGCCUGACGGAGCAAUACCGCGUGAGGGAGGAAGGCUCUUGGGUUGUAAACCUCUUUUCUCAGGGAAGAACAAAAUGACGGUACCUGAGGAAUAAGCAUCGGCUAACUCCGUGCCAGCAGCCGCGGUAAUACGGAGGAUGCAAGCGUUAUCCGGAAUUAUUGGGCGUAAAGCGUCCGCAGGUGGCAAUUCAAGUCUGCUGUCAAAGGUCAGGGCUCAACCCUGAACAGGCAGUGGAAACUGAACAGCUAGAGUGCGGUAGGGGCAGAGGGAAUUCCCAGUGUAGCGGUGAAAUGCGUAGAGAUUGGGAAGAACACCGGUGGCGAAAGCGCUCUGCUAGACCGUAACUGACACUCAUGGACGAAAGCUAGGGGAGCGAAUGGGAUUAGAUACCCCAGUAGUCCUAGCCGUAAACGAUGGAUACUAGGCGUUGCGAGUAUCGACCCUCGCAGUGCCGUAGCUAACGCGUUAAGUAUCCCGCCU
rnacentral:rRNA from 1 species